AAGUCGUAACAAGGUUUUCGUAGGUGAACCUGCGGAAGGAUCAUUACAGAAGCAAGCAUGGCGUAUGCCGUGCCUUGAUGUGUGAACCAAGUGUUGUGGGCGCAAGCCCAAAUGGCGUUGCUAGCACGGACAUGAGAAGCAUACAACUUUCAGCGAUGGAUCUCUUGGCCCUCA
rnacentral:misc_RNA from 1 species